ACCGAAUUUCCUACUUUCAUUUUUGAAAAAUCUUCUAUUUGGAGAUAGAUUUGUACGCAUCUAUUUACAUUUUAUCUGCGAAAGAAAAUACACUUGCUCAGUUGCUGAAGUGGCUCUCUUUCUCGUCCUUAAGAGCACACAUAACUUCUAAAACGUAAAAAAAAAAACAUGUGAAAGAAAAGGGAAACUAGAUAUUUGAGAGAUAGAAAAUAGAAGAAAAGGAAAAGAAAAAGGAAACUAGAUAUUUGAGAGAUAGAAAAUAGAAGAAAAGGAAAAGGUUAAUCAAGAUUUAGUGCUGGCCACACAAUUAAGAAAGAAUAAGAACAAGAAUGUCUUUACAGAAUAGGGGAGACUAUUUUACUGCACUUAGAUUUGUGUUUUUGUUAUAAUUAACUGAUAUUGUAAUUUGUCCUUGGAUAAAAUAUCUGCAAUGUGGAGGACAACUGAACUGUGUUCUUAUAUAUUGAAGACCUACAAUGAUUUAAAAUGCAUGAACUUUAUACUACUGGAAAAUGGUUAUCAUUAAAGUAACAAACACAGAAUUAAUUUACAUGUAUAAAAUGUUAUCUGAAAGGUGA